UGAGCUGGUCGGGCGAUCGCGUGGAGCCGGUGGGUCACUCAUCGGCUUCCCGAGGAAGGUCCGGGCUCCAUAGGGCAAGGUGGUGGGUAACGCCCACCCGGGGUGACCCGCGGGACAGUGCCACAGAAAACAGACCGCCACGUCGGAUCCGUCCGGCGCGGUAAGGGUGAAACGGUGGUGCAAGAGACCACCAGCGUUCCGGGUGACCGGAGCGGCUAGGUAAACCCCGCCUGGAGCAAGGUCAAGAGGAUGUCGUUUCGGCGGCAUCUGCGUGAGCGUUCGAGGGCGGCCCGCCCGAGCUCACGGGUAGACCGCCAGAGGUUGUCGGCAACGGCAGCCCUAGAUGGAUGGUCGUCGACCGCGUCGUCGAAAGACGUGCGGGGACAGAACCCGGCCUACAGACCAGCUCAUCCG
rnacentral:RNase_P_RNA from 1 species